rnacentral:tRNA from 1 species
GCGGGGAUAGCUAAGCACGGCCAACGGCGGCGGAACGGGUGCCGAAACUCAAGAUCUAGCUGGCUCUAGGAGGAGUCAUCCGCUCCCUUAGGGGUUCGUGGGUUCAAAUCCCACUCCCCGCACCA